rnacentral:rRNA from 1 species
CCAAUAGCGUAUAUUAAGGUUGCUGCGGUUAAAAAGCUCGUAGUUGAAUUUCGGGAUUGAUGCAUCGGUCGUGCCUUAAGGGGUAUGAACUGGUGUAGCCAAUUUCUUACCUUCUGGUGAAUUGUGAUGUCCUCCUUAAUUGGGUGUUUCAAUGAACUAGGACCUUUUACUUUGAAAAAAUUAGAGUGUUUAAAGCAGGCAUUAUUUGCUUGAAUACAUUAGCAUGGAAUAAUAAAAUAGGACAAUGAUUCUAUUUUGUUGGUUUCUAGGAUCACUGUAAUGAUUAAUAGGGAUAGUUGGGGGCAUUAGUAUUCAAUUGUCAGAGGUGAAAUUCUUGGAUUAAUUGAAGACUAACUACUGCGAAAGCAUUUGCCAAGGAUAUUUUCAUUAAUCAAGAACGAAAGUUAGGGGAUCGAAGACGAUUAGGUACGUCGUAGUCUUAACCAUAAACUAUGCCGACUAGGAAUCAGACAACGUUAAAUUUUUAAUGACUUGUUUGGCACCUUACG